rnacentral:rRNA from 1 species
CCUACGGGAGGCAGCAGUGAGGAAUAUUGGUCAAUGGGCGCAAGCCUGAACCAGCCAUGCCGCGUGCAGGAAGAAUGCCCUAUGGGUUGUAAACUGCUUUUAUUUAGGAAUAAACCUUUCUACGUGUAGAAAGCUGAAGGUACUGAAUGAAUAAGCACCGGCUAACUCCGUGCCAGCAGCCGCGGUAAUACGGAGGGUGCAAGCGUUAUCCGGAAUCAUUGGGUUUAAAGGGUCCGCAGGCGGGCGUAUAAGUCAGUGGUGAAAUCCUGCAGCUUAACUGCAGAACUGCCAUUGAUACUGUACGUCUUGAAUUCGGUUGAAGUGGGCGGAAUGUGUAGUGUAGCGGUGAAAUGCAUAGAUACUACACAGAACACCGAUAGCGAAGGCAGCUCACUAGGCCUGGAUUGACGCUCAGGGACGAAAGCGUGGGGAUCAAACAGGAUUAGAUACCCUGGUAGUCCACGCUGUAAACGAUGAUUACUCGUUUUCGGCGAUAUACUGUCGGAGACUAAGCGAAAGUGAUAAGUAAUCCACCUGGGGAGUACGAUCGCAAGGUUGAAACUCAAAGGAAUUAGAGG